rnacentral:rRNA from 5 species
GGGUUGUGAGGUUAAGCGACUAAGCGUACACGGUGGAUGCCCUGGCAGUCAGAGGCGAUGAAGGACGUGCUAAUCUGCGAUAAGCGUCGGUAAGGUGAUAUGAACCGUUAUAACCGGCGAUUUCCGAAUGGGGAAACCCAGUGUGUUUCGACACACUAUCAUUAACUGAAUCCAUAGGUUAAUGAGGCGAACCGGGGGAACUGAAACAUCUAAGUACCCCGAGGAAAAGAAAUCAACCGAGAUUCCCCCAGUAGCGGCGAGCGAACGGGGAGCAGCCCAGAGCCUGAAUCAGUGUGUGUGUUAGUGGAAGCGUCUGGAAAGGCGCGCGAUACAGGGUGACAGCCCCGUACACAAAAAUGCACAUACUGUGAGCUCGAUGAGUAGGGCGGGACACGUGGUAUCCUGUCUGAAUAUGGGGGGACCAUCCUCCAAGGCUAAAUACUCCUGACUGACCGAUAGUGAACCAGUACCGUGAGGGAAAGGCGAAAAGAACCCCGGCGAGGGGAGUGAAAAAGAACCUGAAACCGUGUACGUACAAGCAGUGGGAGCACGCUUCGGCGUGUGACUGCGUACCUUUUGUAUAAUGGGUCAGCGACUUAUAUUCUGUAGCAAGGUUAACCGAAUAGGGGAGCCGAAGGGAAACCGAGUCUUAACUGGGCGUUAAGUUGCAGGGUAUAGACCCGAAACCCGGUGAUCUAGCCAUGGGCAGGUUGAAGGUUGGGUAACACUAACUGGAGGACCGAACCGACUAAUGUUGAAAAAUUAGCGGAUGACUUGUGGCUGGGGGUGAAAGGCCAAUCAAACCGGGAGAUAGCUGGUUCUCCCCGAAAGCUAUUUAGGUAGCGCCUCGUGAAUUCAUCUCCGGGGGUAGAGCACUGUUUCGGCAAGGGGGUCAUCCCGACUUACCAACCCGAUGCAAACUGCGAAUACCGGAGAAUGUUAUCACGGGAGACACACGGCGGGUGCUAACGUCCGUCGUGAAGAGGGAAACAACCCAGACCGCCAGCUAAGGUCCCAAAGUCAUGGUUAAGUGGGAAACGAUGUGGGAAGGCCCAGACAGCCAGGAUGUUGGCUUAGAAGCAGCCAUCAUUUAAAGAAAGCGUAAUAGCUCACUGGUCGAGUCGGCCUGCGCGGAAGAUGUAACGGGGCUAAACCAUGCACCGAAGCUGCGGCAGCGACACUAUGUGUUGUUGGGUAGGGGAGCGUUCUGUAAGCCUGUGAAGGUGUGCUGUGAGGCAUGCUGGAGGUAUCAGAAGUGCGAAUGCUGACAUAAGUAACGAUAAAGCGGGUGAAAAGCCCGCUCGCCGGAAGACCAAGGGUUCCUGUCCAACGUUAAUCGGGGCAGGGUGAGUCGACCCCUAAGGCGAGGCCGAAAGGCGUAGUCGAUGGGAAACAGGUUAAUAUUCCUGUACUUGGUGUUACUGCGAAGGGGGGACGGAGAAGGCUAUGUUGGCCGGGCGACGGUUGUCCCGGUUUAAGCGUGUAGGCUGGUUUUCCAGGCAAAUCCGGAAAAUCAAGGCUGAGGCGUGAUGACGAGGCACUACGGUGCUGAAGCAACAAAUGCCCUGCUUCCAGGAAAAGCCUCUAAGCAUCAGGUAACAUUAAAUCGUACCCCAAACCGACACAGGUGGUCAGGUAGAGAAUACCAAGGCGCUUGAGAGAACUCGGGUGAAGGAACUAGGCAAAAUGGUGCCGUAACUUCGGGAGAAGGCACGCUGAUAUGUAGGUGAAGUCCCUCGCGGAUGGAGCUGAAAUCAGUCGAAGAUACCAGCUGGCUGCAACUGUUUAUUAAAAACACAGCACUGUGCAAACACGAAAGUGGACGUAUACGGUGUGACGCCUGCCCGGUGCCGGAAGGUUAAUUGAUGGGGUUAGCGGUAACGCGAAGCUCUUGAUCGAAGCCCCGGUAAACGGCGGCCGUAACUAUAACGGUCCUAAGGUAGCGAAAUUCCUUGUCGGGUAAGUUCCGACCUGCACGAAUGGCGUAAUGAUGGCCAGGCUGUCUCCACCCGAGACUCAGUGAAAUUGAACUCGCUGUGAAGAUGCAGUGUACCCGCGGCAAGACGGAAAGACCCCGUGAACCUUUACUAUAGCUUGACACUGAACAUUGAGCCUUGAUGUGUAGGAUAGGUGGGAGGCUUUGAAGUGUGGACGCCAGUCUGCAUGGAGCCGACCUUGAAAUACCACCCUUUAAUGUUUGAUGUUCUAACGUUGACCCGUAAUCCGGGUUGCGGACAGUGUCUGGUGGGUAGUUUGACUGGGGCGGUCUCCUCCUAAAGAGUAACGGAGGAGCACGAAGGUUGGCUAAUCCUGGUCGGACAUCAGGAGGUUAGUGCAAUGGCAUAAGCCAGCUUGACUGCGAGCGUGACGGCGCGAGCAGGUGCGAAAGCAGGUCAUAGUGAUCCGGUGGUUCUGAAUGGAAGGGCCAUCGCUCAACGGAUAAAAGGUACUCCGGGGAUAACAGGCUGAUACCGCCCAAGAGUUCAUAUCGACGGCGGUGUUUGGCACCUCGAUGUCGGCUCAUCACAUCCUGGGGCUGAAGUAGGUCCCAAGGGUAUGGCUGUUCGCCAUUUAAAGUGGUACGCGAGCUGGGUUUAGAACGUCGUGAGACAGUUCGGUCCCUAUCUGCCGUGGGCGCUGGAGAACUGAGGGGGGCUGCUCCUAGUACGAGAGGACCGGAGUGGACGCAUCACUGGUGUUCGGGUUGUCAUGCCAAUGGCACUGCCCGGUAGCUAAAUGCGGAAGAGAUAAGUGCUGAAAGCAUCUAAGCACGAAACUUGCCCCGAGAUGAGUUCUCCCUGACUCCUUGAGAGUCCUGAAGGAACGUUGAAGACGACGACGUUGAUAGGCCGGGUGUGUAAGCGCAGCGAUGCGUUGAGCUAACCGGUACUAAUGAACCGUGAGGCUUAACCUUACAACGCCGAAGGUGUUU